UCUAAUCAUGAGGACCCUUUUUCUCCACUGCAGACCACGUUAAGAUGUCUGGCUGCGGUGUGGUUGUUACGAUCUCUCUCUCUCCAGAAGACCAACUGUCCUUCUGAGGUCCACCAACAUCUGCUGCUCUUUAUCAGAUUUUCUGGAAAUUCUGUUAAAAUUUGUCCUAAAUUCAGACGGAAACCUCGCUAUAGUGGACAGAGGUGAUGAUGGAUCAAGAGACACCAGAUUCUCUGCAAACAAUGACCGGUGAUGGAUAUCCAACCUCUCCGAGCUCUUGUGGUGUCAUUAUACAGAAG